CGCAUCGUUCAAAUCUGAAAUCCAGCCGACUGGAGCAGUGCCAGAACGAUUGAAGAUUAGAGGCUUUAUUCAUAAUUCCUGGUGCAAAGAAUAGCAGCUGAUGUGGAGAAAUGUUUGAUGCUUCAAGACUCUCUGAAGCUGAUUAUAUUAGGUGCACCCAGUGGCUUUUGACUAGGCCUAUUCGAG